rnacentral:rRNA from 1 species
ACAUGCCUACAACAUAGCGUUAAUGCACCAGAUCCCAUUAGAACUCCGCAGUUGAGCGUGCUCGGGCUAGAGUAGUACUGGGAUGGGUGACCACCCAAGAAGUCCUAGUAUUUUACAUGCC